rnacentral:rRNA from 1 species
AAUCUGCCUGGUAGUGGGGGACAACGUUUCGAAAGGAACGCUAAUACCGCAUACGUCCUACGGGAGAAAGCAGGGGACCUUCGGGCCUUGCGCUAUCAGAUGAGCCUAGGUCGGAUUAGCUAGUUGGUGAGGUAAUGGCUCACCAAGGCGACGAUCCGUAACUGGUCUGAGAGGAUGAUCAGUCACACUGGAACUGAGACACGGUCCAGACUCCUACGGGAGGCAGCAGUGGGGAAUAUUGGACAAUGGGCGAAAGCCUGAUCCAGCCAUGCCGCGUGUGUGAAGAAGGUCUUCGGAUUGUAAAGCACUUUAAGUUGGGAGGAAGGGCAGUAAGUUAAUACCUUGCUGUUUUGACGUUACCGACAGAAUAAGCACCGGCUAACUCUGUGCCAGCAGCCGCGGUAAUACAGAGGGUGCAAGCGUUAAUCGGAAUUACUGGGCGUAAAGCGCGCGUAGGUGGUUCGUUAAGUUGGAUGUGAAAGCCCCGGGCUC